UUGAGGGCAAGUCUGGUGCCAGCAGCCGCAGUAAUUUUAGCUCCAAUAGCGUAUAUUAAAGUUGUUGCAGUUAAAAAGCUCGUAGUUGAAUUUCGGGAUUUGUCAGUUUGUCGGGCUUCACUGUCCGUAUUAACUUUAUGGAUUCUUACCUUCUGAAUAACUAGCAUGCUAUUAAGUUAGUGCUUUGGGGAAAUCUAUUACCUUGAAAAAAUUAGAGUGCUUAAAGCGAGCUAGUGCUUGAAUAUAUUAGCAUGGAAUAAUAAAAUAUGACUAUUUUGUUGGUUUCUAGGAUCACCGUAAUGAUUAAUAGGGAUAGUUGGGGGCAUUAGUAUUCAAUUGUCAGAGGUGAAAUUCUUGGAUUUAUUGAAGACUAACUUCUGCGAAAGCAUUUGCCAAGGAUGGUUUCAUUAAUCAAGAACGAAAGUUAGGGAUCGAAGACGAUCAGAUACCGUCGUAGUCUUAACAAUAAACUAUGCCGACUAAGAAUCGGGCGAUAUCAAUUUUUAUAAUGACUCG
rnacentral:rRNA from 1 species